rnacentral:tRNA from 17 species
GCCCGGGUGGUCUAGUUGGCUAUGAUUCUCGCUUAGGGUGCGAGAGGUCCCGCGUUCGAAUCGCGGCUCGGGCC